AGUGAACGCUGGCGGUAGGCCUAACACAUGCAAGUCGAACGGCAGCACAGUAAGAGCUUGCUCUUACGGGUGGCGAGUGGCGGACGGGUGAGGAAUACAUCGGAAUCUACUUUUUCGUGGGGGAUAACGUAGGGAAACUUACGCUAAUACCGCAUACGACCUACGGGUGAAAGCAGGGGAUCUUCGGACCUUGCGCGAUUGAAUGAGCCGAUGUCGGAUUAGCUAGUUGGCGGGGUAAAGGCCCACCAAGGCGACGAUCCGUAGCUGGUCUGAGAGGAUGAUCAGCCACACUGGAACUGAGACACGGUCCAGACUCCUACGGGAGGCAGCAGUGAGGAAUAUUGGACAAUGGGCGCAAGCCUGAUCCAGCCAUACCGCGUGGGUGAAGAAGGCCUUCGGGUUGUAAAGCCCUUUUAUUGGGAAAGAAAAGCAGCAGGUUAAUACCCCGCUGUUCUGACGGUACCCAAAGAAUAAGCACCGACUAACUUCGUG
rnacentral:rRNA from 1 species